AAGAGAAAGGUAGAACACGAAGCAGUAUAUCCUGCUUCAAUAAAAAGACUUUGAAGUACACAAAGUCUAUACUCUUAAAACGAUGCGCUUCUUUCUUUCCUUUUCCCUUUGUUUAUAUUUCGGGCCUGUAGCUCAGUUGGUUAGAGCACU
rnacentral:misc_RNA from 1 species